AUUGAACGCUGGCGGCAGGCCUAACACAUGCAAGUCGAGCGGAGCGGCGGACGGGUAAGUAAUGCCUAGGAAUCUGCCUGGUAGUGGUGGAUAACGUCCGGAAACGGGCGCUAAUACCGCAUACUAUCAGAUGAGCCUAGGGCGGAUUAGCUAGUUGGUGGGGUAAAGGCCUACCAAGGCGACGAUCCGUAACUGGUCUGAGAGGAUGAUCAGGCACACUGGAACUGAGACACGGUCCAGACUACUACGGGAGGCAGCAGUGGGGAAGAUUGGACAAUGGGCUAAAGCCUGAUCCAGCCAUGCCGCGUGUGUUAAGAAGUUCUGCGGAUUGUAAAGCACUUUAAGUUGGGUGUCGUUACCAUCAGAAUAAGCACCGGCUAACUUCGUGCCAGCAGCCGCGGUAAUUC
rnacentral:rRNA from 1 species